AGGUGUAUGGUUGAUCUAGUUGUGACAUCUGCCACGUCAUUGUUUUCCAGGGUUGAUUUGGCUGAUCUGGCUGUCUAGGGGUGUGGCCCCUUCCUUCCUUCCUCCUACCACUGUGUGUGAGCUCCUCCUGAAGUUGUGUGUUGGGUGGGGUGCAAGAGGGUGCCUCUUGAUGGAGGAAGGCUGGUUUUUGGAGGAGGAUAUAGGAGCCGUUGUGUUUCCCCGAUAGACCCUCCAAGCUUUCACAAAACCUAGAACACUUACUCUUUGGGCCCUUACACACCAAGUGUGCACAUGUCUGCUAAAGAAU
rnacentral:snRNA from 1 species